AACUACAUGUGCGAAUAUACCU
rnacentral:siRNA from 1 species